rnacentral:rRNA from 1 species
AUACGGAGGGGGUUAGCGUUGUUCGGAAUUACUGGGCGUAAAGCGUACGUAGGCGGACUGGAAAGUUGGGGGUGAAAUCCCGGGGCUCAACCCCGGAACUGCCUCCAAAACUUCCAAUCUAGAGAUCGAGAGAGGUGAGUGGAAUUCCAAGUGUAGAGGUGAAAUUCGUAGAUAUUAGGAGGAACACCAGUGGCGAAGGCGGCUCACUGGCUCGAUACUGACGCUGAGGUACGAAAGCGUGGGGAGCAAACAGGAUUAGAGACCCUAGUAGUCC